AUUGGAGUGUAGUCCAGCAACA
rnacentral:miRNA from 1 species